rnacentral:tRNA from 2 species
GCGCUCGUAGCUCAACGGAUAGAGCAUUUGACUACGGAUCAAAAGGUUGCAGGUUCGAAUCCUGCCGAGCGCACCA